rnacentral:rRNA from 1 species
UACAGAGGCCUCAAGCGUUGUUCGGAUUCAUUGGGCGUAAAGGGCGUGUAGGUGGCGCCGUAAGUCGGGUGUGAAAUUUCGGAGCUUAACUCCGAAACUGCAUUCGAUACUGCGGUGCUUGAGGACUGGAGAGGAGACUGGAAUUCAUGGUGUAGCAGUGAAAUGCGUAGAGAUCAUGAGGAAGACCAGUGGCGAAGGCGGGUCUCUGGACAGUUCCUGACACUGAGACACGAAGGCCAGGGGAGCAAACGGG